GACGGAGGGUGCAAGCGUUGUUCGGAUUGACUGGGCGUAAAGGGCGUGUAGGCGGUUGGUCAAGUCUGGUGUGAAAGCCCGGGGCUUAACCCCGGAAGUGCGCUGGAAACUAGCCAGCUAGAGCGCGAGAGAGGAGGGUGGAAUUCCUGGUGUAGCGGUGAAAUGCGUAGAUAUCCGGAAGAACACCGGUGGCGAAGGCGGUCUGCUGGGGUCGAACUGACGCUGAGGCGCGACAGCGUGGGGAGCAAACAGG
rnacentral:rRNA from 1 species